AAGGUCCUAAAAUGCAAUUUCCUUGAUUUCCAAGAACUCACCUGUUGUUGGCACUCUAUUAACUGUAUUACCUGUAUUAAGCCUUUUGAACUUUCCAAAACUCACACAAAAAUGGAGCAAAAAUUGCUCAAAUUUUUACAGAAAUCCAAAACUAGCAAACAAUUGAAAGAGACCCAUCUUCAGAUUAUUGUCAAUGGCCUAAUGAAUAACAACUUUAUAGUGCCAAAGCUCAUAACUUUUUCCUCAAACUUCAUUUCACUUGAUUAUGGACUUCAUGUCUUUGAAAGCUUAGAAAACCCAACUCUUAUUUCCUACAAUACUUUGAUUCAAUGCUUCAUUGGCAAGACAUUUAAAUAUGCAUUAUAUACUUAUAACCAUAUGAGGGUAUCAAAUAUUACACCUAAUAGUUUCACAUUUACGUUUCUCUUGAGGUGUUUUGAGUCUUUUGAUGUUUUACAAGCUGGAGAAGUAGUUCAUAGUCAGAUUGCAAAGUUGGGUUUUGAGUCGAGUGUGUUUGCUAAGAAUACCCUUAUGGAUUUUUACGCUAAAUGUGGUGGGAAUUUGGGUUCUGCUCGUAAGGUGUUUGAUGAAAUGUAUGAAAGAGAUGUUGUUUCGUGGAAUACGAUGAUUGGUGCUUAUAUGAUUCAUGGUAAUCAAGAAUAUGCGCUUUGUUUGUUUGAGGCUAUGCCGGAGAGGAAUCUGAUUUCGUGGAAUUCGGUUAUUGCUGGGCUAUUGAAGGUUGGGAACAUGGAGAUGGCUCGUUCUGUUUUUAAGCGUAUGCCGGAGAAGAAUGAUGUUUCUUGGAAUAUGAUGAUAUCUGGAUAUGUGAAGUUGGGUGACGUAGAGACUGCUAGAGCUAUAUUUGAUGAGAUGCCGGAGAAAAGUAUAAUCUCUUGGACUGCAGUGGUAUCAGGAUAUGCCACAAGUGGUGAUGUGCUAUCAGCAAGAAAGAUGUUUGAUCGAAUACCAGAAAAAAAUGUUGUUUCAUGGAAUGCCAUGAUUGCUGGAUAUGUAAAUAACCACAUGUUUGAUGAAGCUCUUUCUGUGUUUCAGCUUAUGUUGAUUGACGGGAACUGCAAACCCAACCAGACUACUUUGAUCAGUGUACUCUCAGCAUGUUCACAUUUGGGGUCUCAUGAGCAUGGAAAAUGGAUUGAUUCUUUUAUAAGAAAGAACAAAUUUGACUUAUCAGUUCCCCUAGGAAAUGCUUUAAUCGACACAUUUGCAAAAUGUGGAGAUAUGGAAAAUGCAAAAGCAGUUUUCCUGAGGAUGGCCCAAAGAUGCAUAAUCACUUGGACUACAAUGAUUUCAGGAUUAGCAGUGAAUGGACAUUGCAAAGACGCCCUAGAACUCUAUGAAAAAAUGUGCUUGGAAGGAGUAGAGCCGGAUGAUGUUGUAUUUAUUGCUGUUCUUUCAGCUUGCACUCAUGGUGGGCUGCUGGAAGAAGGGAAAAGGGUAUUUUACCAUAUGAUGGACAAAUUUGGCAUUAAACCACGGAUUGAGCAUUAUGGAUGCAUGGUUGAUCUUCUUGGCCGAGCUGGAAAGUUUGAAGAAGCACUGAGUUUCAUAAAGAGCAUGCAUUUGGAACCUAACGUGGUCAUUUGGGCCACAUUGCUUUCUGCUUGUAAAACUUAUAGAAACGGGGAGUUGUUAGAAUCCUUAACCAGGAGGAUCCUGGAGCAAGAGCCUAACAACCCAAGUUAUUUAACAUUGAUAAUAAAUCUAAGCUCUUCUGUUGGGCGGUGGCAAGAUACCUUGAACUUCCGUAUAGCUACUAGAGACCAGGGAAUAGUAAAAAUUCCUGGUUGUAGCUCAAUCCAAAUAGGAAAUAAUGUCCAUGAGUUCUUAGCUAAAGAUACAAAGCACCCACAGAGGAAGGAAAUCUAUAGAGUUUUAGGGUGUUUAAAUGGACACUUAAAAUCAUGUGAGGUCGAACGAAUUGUGAUGACCAUGGCUUCUUAGAGAAUCUAUCGAUAGAAAGAUUUUGUUAUGUCCAUUGCUCAAAGGCUACUUUCUUGAAUACGCAUUAUUCUGACAUGGGUGAAAUCUUACAUCACAUGUAACUUGAAGUUGCAUGAUCACAGUGGCUGGACUAUUGAUCUGAAUUAAGUACUGUCGUGAAAUGAAGUAUGAUAAUUCUCAAAGUACGGCUGCAGGGAGAGGAAUCAACUCGGAGAAACUGUGAUGUCCAAGAGUAAAUUAUUACACUGAAAAUUUUGGGCAAGAUGAGAUGCAUGAAGGUACUAUUUAUCAGGCCAUGGAAGAAUUGCCAAAGUAUGUUCCAGAACAGGCACACCCUAACAUGUUGAGUCUUCUCUAUAUGCUCCACGUCCAUGCUUUAGCCUGUUGAGCUACUCUGAACUUCUGAAAGAUCUGGGUCUGUCAGAAAAAGUAGUCUUCAAGCAGAGGCGGAGUCAGGAUUUUAUUAAAAGGAGUUCAAAAUCCGAAGAAGUAAACACACGAACUAGUCGAAGGGGGUUUUACAUCACUAUAUACAUAAAAAGUAAUUUAACCAUGUAUAAAUAGUAUAAUUUUUCGCCAAAGGGGGCUUGGAUGAACCCCUUACUAUAAGUUGGCUGUGCCCCUGUCUUCUAGUCCUCAAACCCUAAACUGGUCACAGGUGUGGGGGGAUGUCAGCUUAUACUUCAAAGGAGUUUAUAAUGGUCCUAUUUCACUUAUUGCCUUAUUUUGAAUUGGAUGCUCAUAUUCUUUCAUAACGUACUUUAAACCGUACGAAAAAUAAUAUCAAAAAGAGAUUAUAUUGGAGCAUAUAAACAAAUGGUUGAACUUGAAACAAAGGGAUCCUUGCUCAAAUAGCCAGCUGGAUUUGCUCUUUACUUUUCCUAGCCUAUAUGCGUCGAUUAUACUCUGGUAGUCUGGUUAUACAUGACUGCACUCAUAGUAUACAAGGAUGAUACAUAUAGUAUACAUCUGCUGGCUAUUCUUAAUUGAAGUGGUUUGGGGGUGGCUAUUUAGGUUAAUUUUUCAAAAAACAAAAAGGAGUGGUUGGUUGAUCAGAAAGUUGAGACAGAUCAAUAGGAUGGGAGGAUGGUGGGUUGGUCGGGAAGGUGUUGAAGGAUGACAAGAUUUGCACCAAAUCUAGAGUUUAGUUGAUGGAUCGACUGCAAGAUUCUCAUUUUCUUAUUUGUUUUUGCCAAGACAACACAACUACUGUUACUACAUCAAUAGUUUCAUUCUAAGACACCUUUUUCUUACUACUCUUCAUGUUACUUUUCUACAGUACCCAGAGUCACUUGAUCAAUAUACUGUACUACCGUCAUUUUACUUAAUUCAGAUAAUGUGGACAUGUACUAGAUUCCUUCGAGAAAAUAAGCACAAAGUUGAGCAGUGUUCUGCUUGGAUGUCCACAUUUGGAUUGGUGCUCUGUUAAUAUUCACUUCUUGAUUGUUUGUUUUCCAUAUAGAUAUGCUUUGCUUUUGAAGAAGCUGUCUUUUUUCUCCUGUGAAUCCAAUCCAUUUCCACAUAUAAAACUUUUGUGUGCAAAUGUUGUCUCUUUUGCUCGCUGUGCCUCCAGCUUUCUGUUGAAAAUAUAGUGCUGAAAACGGAAGCUGGUUGGAAGAGAAUCUGAUGCUGACACUAGUAUAUGGAAGUUGAAGUACUUUCACUGGUUCGUAUGCUGUUCCCCAAGGUAAUAGUAAGUCAAAAAUGUUUUUGGCUUUAAAGCCAUCUGGUUUUGACUCUGCAACUGCAUUAUGAACUACCAAACUAUGAUGCCUGGGCAUAUUCUUCGUCUUGUGAAGCCUGAUACUUACGUCAGUGCACUGCUAUAGUUCCGGGGCAAUGUAGGUUGCGACAUUUUUUCUCCAGACAAUUAAUAUUCCUGGUCAGUCAAAUUGAUUAAGAAGUUAUAUUUUAACUUUUCCUCCUUCUGUAAAAGUAGUCUUCCACUCCCUAGGCCUUCCUUAAUUAACUACAAAUAAAACCGAGAAGACUAAAGAGUCAAAAGUAAAGGAGAGGAUAGUGGUGGAAAAGAGAGAAAGAAUCCUUCUUUUUCAUUAAUUGAAAAUAAAAAAGAAAAUUGUUAAUAUAGGUUCCAAGUGGGCAUCUUUAUUCUUAGUUCAUCUUAAUUUGGACGCCUUUUGGUCAUUAUGAGAAACUUAAUUAAAUAGUUCUCUAUAUUUAUGCUUUUGGUGAGAAUAAAUAUCACCCUCUAAUAAAUCUCCUUUCUUUAUACUUUUUACACACAUUCUCUGGGCCCAAAUAUGUUGAAAAAGCAAAAAAAAAUGUGAUACUUUAAGAGCGAUUAUGCAAGUAUAUUUAAAGGUAUCUUGAAAAGUAGUUACUCAGCGAUAACAAAAGUUAUUAAUGUCAUUAUAUUCUAUGAUUCUCUUAAAAUUUGAGAUUAACUAUUCACCCAGUUAUAGCACCCAAGGGUGUGGCCUAGUGGUCAAUGUAAUGGGCUGAGCACCAUGAGGUCUUAGGUUGAUGAUCUCAGCACAGACAAAACACUAAGUCAUUUCUUCCUAUCUAUUAUAGCCUUGGUGAACAGAGUUACAUGUUGCUGAUGGGUGGUGAUAGGUAUCCCCAGAAAUUAGUCGAGGUGCACGCCAGCUGACUCAGAGACCUAGUUAUCAAAAAACAAAAACAAUUCACCCAGUUGUUUUGUAGCUACUUUUUCAGUUGAUUCUCUGAUGAUUAUUAUUGUAAUACUUGAUGCACCUAUAUUUCACCCUUUACGAUCCUUUCUAUUCAUGGACAACAAAAUUUUAAAAUAACUUGAUCUUGGGUGGACUUAGCCCCUGUUGAAGCAAACUAUCUAGGUGUUCAUUCCCUUGGCUUGGGUUUCUCUCAAAGUUGAAGUUGGACUCACCUACUUUGGAAUGAGUUGUAAAAGUAAACUAUAUAAGACUCAUGAUUAGAGCUUGAGUUGCUCAUGAUGGAUUAAGAAUAUGGCUGAAUUAUAUGUAGAUCAUGAGUUAAGGCUUGACUCAUGGUAUAAGAUUCUGAGUAUUUUGAAUUUGCAAGCAAGAUUUGUUAAGUUCAUGACCCCCACUUCUCUACCUCCCAAGGUAGGGAUAAGUUCAGCGUAGACUCUACUCUCCUCAGACCCCACUCGUGGAAUUACACUGGGUAUGUUGUUUAUUGUUGAAUUGGUGGAGUUUAUGAAUCCUACCGAUAUGGGUAUUAAGGAUUCUACAAGAGUUGGUUGAUAACUUGCUAUAGAUGAGUUUUAUUACAGGUUUACAGUCACAUAGGGUUUGAACCAAUAAACUGGUAUCAGGUACUGUGAAUCCUAUGGUAUUAUAUACUAGAUAAACUUUUUGAGUUUUAUAGGUUGUUAAUUCUUAGAUAUGUAUUGUCUUCAUAAUUGAUGAAGGAGUUGAGAUUGAGUAAAUUGGAUGACAUAAAAUCAGUAACAUAUAGGACUAGCUUCCCUUAAAAUUGCAUUUUUGACAGAAUCACAAGCUUAUGUAAAGGUUGACAAUUUCAAGUGUCCUUGCUUUUAGACAAGUGCUCGAGUAUAGAUGAAAUGAUUUUUGGUAUAUGUCAACCAUGUUUGAGUAUAUGAAAUGACAUAAAUGCUAUAUUACUUUG